CCAUCUGGAAGAAUCUGGAGACAGGUGCUGCAUGGCUGUCGUCAGCUCGUGUCGUGAGAUGUUGGGUUAAGUCCCGCAACGAGCGCAACCCUUGCCUUUAGUUGCCAGCAGUUCGGCUGGGCACUCUAAAGGGACUGCCGGUGACAACCGGAGGAAGGUGGGGAUGACGUCAAGGUCAUCAUGGCCCUUACGGCCUGGGCUACACACGUGCUACAAUAGUCGGUACGAAAGGGUUGCCAAGCCGCGAGGUGGAGCUAAUCCCAUAAAACCGAAUCGUAGUCCGGAUCGCAGUCUGCAACUCGACUGCGUGAAGUCGGAAUCGCUAGUAAUCGUGAAUCAGAAUGUCACGGUGAAUACGUUCCCGGGCCUU
rnacentral:rRNA from 1 species